GUAAAAUGGCUGAAGUUUAAGCAGUAAAUUGUAAAUUUAUAAAUGAAUUUAAUUCUUUUAC
rnacentral:tRNA from 1 species